ACAUGCUCAUCUGGUGCCAAGCCAAUCUCUCUUGUUUUUGUUCAGCCAGCUGCUGUAUAAAUACUGAUUAACCAUCUACUAGACACCAGGCUCUGUAUUAGGCAAUGAAGCCACCACAGCAAACAGGCAAUUAUGAUACAGCCUGAUACCUGCCACGGGGUGGGGGGUGGGCACAGGGCACAGUAGGGACACAGGGGAAGGCCCCCGACUCUGCCAGGUUAGGGGGUCAAGGAGAGACAUCCAUCUAGACUUCUGAGAUGGAGAGGAAUCAGCCAGCAAUGUGAAAGGCAGAGGUGUGGGGGCUGCGUUGGAGGGGAAGUGCAGCAGGUGGCCCCCACACUGGAGGAACUGAAGGGGGAUCAAACGGCCGGAGCCUACAGGAAGGGAAAGCUGGGCACAUGGCCGGGGAGACACACAAAGGUGAGAUCAUGAAGGCCCUUCAUGCCAAGAGAAUGCAGACCUAUGGUAAGACUGGUGUAGUGAAGGCAGCAAGAGAAGUCAGGAGGACUCUUCAGUCACCACCCCGGCCAGAGAUGCUGGAGGUCCAUGGAGAGAAGGGAAGAAGGAGCAGACUGGAGAGACAUUAAGGAGGCAGAAUCAUCAGGACUUGGUGUAGGAGAGACCAGAGAAGAUUCAUGUUCAGCUCUUUUUGACCCCAGGGACUGUAGCCCACCAGGUUGCUCCAUCCAUGGAAUUCUCCAGGCAAGAACACUGGAGUGGAUAGCCGUUCGCUUCUCCAGGGGAUCUUCCCGACACAGGCCUGUUGCAUUGCAGGCAGAUUCUUUACCAUCUGAGCCACCAGGGAAGCCCCAAAUAUGUCAAACCCUGAGUAAUUCAGAUUUUGUGGGCACUUUUAGGAUCCUAUAGAGAGAUAAUAUAAAUAGACAAUUUAUAUGGGCCAAUACAAGUGGUAAAAAAGCCUAUGAAAAAAAUCCAUACUAUUAAAUUUUAAUGCAGGCUAAAGCAACCUUGACACAUUAUUUUAAACCUGCCAAAUUUGGCAAAAUUUCACAAUACAAACAAGAUGUAAUUCGGGCCAAGCUGGAAUGAAAG
ensembl:lncRNA